UACGUAGGGUCCGAGCGUUGUCCGGAAUUAUUGGGCGUAAAGGGCUCGUAGGCGGUCUGUUGCGUCGGGAGUGAAAACUUACAGCUUAACUGUGAGCGUGCUUUCGAUACGGGCAGACUUGAGGCAUUCAGGGGAGAACGGAAUUCCUGGUGUAGCGGUGAAAUGCGCAGAUAUCAGGAAGAACACCCGUGGCGAAAGCGGCUCUCUGGACCAUAGCUGACGCUGAGACACGAAAGCGUGGGUAGCAAACAGG
rnacentral:rRNA from 1 species